ncrna:unclassified sequences NiCo riboswitch
ACAGUACAAACUGAGCAGGCGACAAGAACUUCACAGAUACAGGGAAGCUCCUGUUGGCCGGGCCAUAUAUGGCAGCAGAUGAAUUUAUUUUUGCAUAUUUUCGGAAAACAACAGCAUCUGUGGGACAGUA